AUUGAACGCUGGCGGCAGGCCUAACACAUGCAAGUCGAACGGUAACAGGAAGCAGCUUGCUGCUUUGCUGACGAGUGGCGGACGGGUGAGUAAUGUCUGGGAAACUGCCCGAUGGAGGGGGAUAACUACUGGAAACGGUAGCUAAUACCGCAUAACGUCGCAAAACCAAAGAGGGGGACCUUAGGGCCCCUUGCCCUCGGAUGUGCCCCGAUGGGAUUAGCUAGUAGGUGGGGUAACGGCUCACCUAGGCGACGAUCCCUAGCUGGUCUGAGAGGAUGACCAGCCACACUGGAACUGAGACACGGUCCAGACUCCUACGGGAGGCAGCAGUGGGGAAUAUUGGACAAUGGGCGCAAGCCUGAUGCAGCCAUGCCGCGUGUAUGAAGAAGGCCUUCGGGUUGUAAAGUACUUUCAGCGGGGAGGAAGGGAGUAAAGUUAAUACCUUGGCUCAUUGACGUUACCCGCAGAAGAAGCACCGGCUAACUCCGUG
rnacentral:rRNA from 1 species